AUUGAACGCUGGCGGCAUGCCUAACACAUGCAAGUCGAACGAAGGCUUCGGCCUUAGUGGCGCACGGGUGCGUAACGCGUGGGAAUCUGCCCUUGGGUUCGGAAUAACUCAGAGAAAUUUGAGCUAAUACCGGAUGAUGACGUAAGUCCAAAGAUUUAUCGCCCAAGGAUGAGCCCGCGUAAGAUUAGCUAGUUGGUGGGGUAAAGGCCUACCAAGGCGACGAUCUUUAGCUGGUCUGAGAGGAUGAUCAGCCACACUGGGACUGAGACACGGCCCAGACUCCUACGGGAGGCAGCAGUGGGGAAUAUUGCGCAAUGGGGGAAACCCUGACGCAGCCACGCCGCGUGGGUGAUGAAGGCCUCGGGUUGUAAGACCUGUCGGGGGGACGGAAGUACUGACGGUACCCGU
rnacentral:rRNA from 1 species